GCAUCUCGCUGUCUGCGCUGGGCACGGAGCGGCGCGCGCGCGCCCGUCUUUCCCUCGGCGGCCCCCGCGGCUCGGACCCGGGCCGGCAGACAGGCCAUCCAUCAUCCGCCCUCCUCCCGCGGAGCGCCGCAGCCGCCGCGGCCAAUCCGGCGGCAGGUGGGGCCGCACCUGCGCGACAGCCCGCCGCUUCCCUCCGCUCCCUUCGCCGCGCCUCGCGUGCUAGCGGUGCCCUUGUGAGCCACUGCGUUCUCCAAGGCCAGAACGGGACAGGUAUGUUGACCUGGGAAUCUAGUCUCCCAGCAAAACCCCUUCAAGAGAAUGAAAUGCCACUAGAAAUACAAAUAAGCCCUCAAGCAGCUUAUUAAGGGCCACCCGACCUGCAUCAUAAUGGGAACAUUUGAGAUUGUGGAGCUACCCUUUCAUCUUUCCCCACCUUUCCUUUCAUGACACAUUGUAUAAAUGAAGCCUCUACCAUUAUCCUUUGGAGAGUAAAUUAAAUAAGGGAUGAUUUUCCCUUAUUCAUUCAGCUGGCCUUCGGCAUUCAGAUUUGGUCCCACACUUCAAAGAGGGGCGGAGAACUUCUAGGGAGUUCAGAGAAGAGGAAUAUGAAUGAUAUAAGCAAUAGAAUCUGAGCUAUGUUCAGUAAAUUGUUCUACAGAGGAAGAAGGUACAAGGUGACAGGAGUAUGAAAUGAUGAAGAGGAAGUGGCAAGAUUAUUUUUCUUCAGGGGUAAAAGUAAUAACAUUUGGGGAAAUGGGCUUAAAUUAGGAACAAUUUUCCAUGUAUAGUAAUAUAUUCCAUUAACUGUGAAAGCUAAAAAAUAAAGUGAAGCUAUAAAAUGGCAAUUCUUAUAAGUCAAAAAUGCCCUAUGCAAAUGAAGUGU
rnacentral:lncRNA from 1 species